rnacentral:lncRNA from 1 species
AAAAACUGGUGUGUGGUACGAAUUAUCCUAAUUUCACAUUUGACGUUAACUUAACAAAUAUAUAUUAACAAAGUGCACGAGUUUUUAAAUUAAAACGUUAAAUCUACCUGUGGAGAAAGCCCGUGACAAUAAUUUAUAUUAUCUUGCAAAGAAAUUGAUACUUGGUGUCUAAUAAAUUAAGUAUACUUAGCGUUAAAUAUACGAGCUUUAAUUUAAACUAAGACGUUGAAGACCGCGUCUGCUGCAGCCAGACGGAGAAAAACGAGGAAAGAACAAGCCCUCUGCUGCAUUUAAAGAAGACGGAGAAUAUGCAGAAGAAGGAAAAAACAGAGAAAUCAGCAGGUCGCCGCCGCGGAAAAAAAAAAAAAAAAAAAAGGACAGAACGAUUGAUUAAACAUUCUCUUAGUAAGUUUUAGGAACAAGAUCGAAGUGAAACGGUGACCGGAGUCGGGAGAAAAACUCCCGAAACCAGAAAGUUUUUAAUGAAUUUUCUGGGACUGUUUUAGACCCAUUUUCGUAAGAAAAAUUUUACGAUUUAUCUUAGAAGUGAGAUAAAUAGGUUCAAAACCAUUCUAUUCUCAUUCAAUUUCUAGUUUAAUAUUUAAUAAGAAGAAGUUAGCCAUAAUAUAUAUAUAUCAAAUCUAUGAGCGAGAAGUUGUACCCCCACUUAUCAAUGAAGGAAGUAGAAAAACAUUUAAUUUGUAUUAGAUAUAAAACUAAAUUGAAAUCAGAAUAUUCUCUCACAUUUCUGUUGUUUUUUCAUUCCUAUUCUAUUCCAUGGAACACAGUCUGGUACUAAAUAUCAACGGAUACAGUCUCAACAUAGACAAAUGAAGAAAUUAAUUUGAAACUCUAUGAUUCAUGAUACUAAUCUCCACUGGGAUACAGAAAACUCACUUAAACUAACAUGUGCUCCACUCCAAAUGCUAUACCAGUAUAAUAAUACUUUGAAAAAUUCCAAAUAGCAAAGCUAAGUAAGUAACCAAAACGAAAGAUAAAUGAAAAUUAAAAUCGAAUUGGAAACUUUUUUAACCUUUUAUCACCUUCAAGGCUACAUCAAAAUUCACCGCCAAAAAACUGGAUUCAUUGGAACCAGACAUGAAUAAAGAUUCAUUUUACCCGAAAACGAAUCCAACCAAACAAAAGCAAAGGAGAGAUCAAAACCUUUUCAGAGUAGAGAGGCAGGGAACGCAAGGACCCGAGCGACAGCAUUCAAAUGUAACACGAGUUCCUCCAGAAACUUCCUUGAAGCUCAGCAGGACCUCUCCUCGCUGCACUUUUCUUUCAAGAAAAGAGGGCUACAAAUUUUUUAAAGACAAAAUAAUUUUGUAUGAUUGAUUUAAUGGACAUUUAAUGAAAGAGGAAAAUAUCACUAAUGGAUAAAUCAUAUAUUCGCUUUUAAGAAGAAAAUAAUAAUAAAUCUAAUAGAAUUUUUUAAAGAGGAAAAUAUCAGAAUCAUGAUAGGAAAUAAUUUUGUAUGAUUGAUUUAUGGAAAAUUAUGAAGGUUAUUAGAAAAUUUAAGAGUUUACUAAUUCAGCAUCACUAAUUUGGAUAAAUCAUCCACUCCCUUUUAAGACUAAAAUAACAACAAAUCUAAUAAUCCAGUAGUUUAGAAAACAUUACCAUAUCUGAUCCAUCUCGAUCUAUAUAUAUAUAUAUGUGUCUGUUCUCCAGUUCUUCACAACAAAGCAAAACCAAAAAGCUCUGAUAUCGAUUGACACUUACUCGGAAUUUCUACAUCCAUUUAAAGAAGAAGAAGAAGAUGCGUUCAAGCAGAGUAGCAUCAGCCACUGAGGACGUCGAGCAUCAAGUGAAAGCAAGUAUUGACAAGCUAUUUCGGAUGGCGGAAUCGGAUGCCAAAUUCAUGUGGAGAAAACUCGUCGGCAGCAUGGAAGACAACGACGUGAAGCAUUGCAGCAGAGAGAAGAAGACACAUGUGCGUUCUUCUUUAUGGAAUUUUUGGGCCAAAAAGGAAUUAUAUGAGAAGCUGGGAGGAGGAGGAGUUUCUGAUUGUUCUUCUGGAGGCAGCCUUGAAGAUAUUACUGUAAGUUGGAUACAGAAGUAUCUAAGAAACUGUCCCCUCCACAAGGGAAUUGCCGAGAAGGAAGACGAACACAUGAUGAUUAUUAGGUUUGGGCGGAAGAUUAAAAAAUUGUUUAAGAAGAAAAUGAAACCUACUGCUGCUGCUUCCGCUAAUGUUCAAUCCAACUUAAACUUCUCCAUCUCUUGGGGCUGUGUAAGUUUUCAUUCUGAGGUUUGCGUUAAAAAACCACUUUGGUGUAAAUCACUACUUAGUUAGUUCAAAAAUCUAC